rnacentral:rRNA from 1 species
UUGGUUAAGUUAGAAAGGGCGCACGGUGGAUGCCUUGGCACUAGGAGCCGAAGAAGGACGGGACUAACACCGAUAUGCUUUGGGGAGCUGUACGUAAGCGUUGAUCCAGAGAUUUCCGAAUGGGGGAACCCACUAUCUUUAGUCGGAUAGUAUCCUUACGUGAAUACAUAGCGUGAGGAAGGCAGACCCAGGGAACUGAAACAUCUAAGUACCUGGAGGAAGAGAAAGAAAAAUCGAUUUCCUGAGUAGCGGCGAGCGAAACGGAAAGAGCCCAAACCAAGAAGCUUGCUUCUUGGGGUUGUAGGACACUCUAUACGGAGUUACAAAAGAAAGUUAUAAAUGAAGCGGUCUGGAAAGGCCCGCCAAAGACGGUAACAGCCCGGUAGUUGAAAUGGCUUUCCCUCCAGAGUGGAUCCUGAGUACGGCGGAACACGUGAAAUUCCGUCGGAAUCCGGGAGGACCAUCUCCCAAGGCUAAAUACUCCCUAGUGACCGAUAGUGAACCAGUACCGUGAGGGAAAGGUGAAAAGCACCCCGGAAGGGGAGUGAAACAGUUCCUGAAACCGUGUGCCUACAAGUAGUUAGAGCCCGUUAAUGGGUGAUAGCGUGCCUUUUGUAGAAUGAACCGGCGAGUUACGAUUUGUUGCAAGGUUAAGCGGAAAAAGCGGAGCCGUAGCGAAAGCGAGUCUGAAUAGGGCGCAUAAGUAACAGGUCGUAGACCCGAAACCAGGUGAUCUACCCAUGUCCAGGAUGAAGGUAAGGUAAUACUUACUGGAGGUCCGAACCCACGCACGUUGAAAAGUGCGGGGAUGAGGUGUGGGUAGCGGAGAAAUUCCAAUCGAACUUGGAGAUAGCUGGUUCUCUCCGAAAUAGCUUUAGGGCUAGCCUCGAGGUAAAGAGUCAUGGAGGUAGAGCACUGUUUGGACUAGGGGCCCUUCUCGGGUUACCGAAUUCAGAUAAACUCCGAAUGCCAUGUACUUAUACUCGGGAGUCAGACUGCGAGUGAUAAGAUCCGUAGUCGAAAGGGAAACAGCCCAGACCACCAGUUAAGGUCCCCAAAUAUAUGUUAAGUGGAAAAGGAUGUGGGGUUGCUUAGACAACCAGGAUGUUGGCUUAGAAGCAGCCACCAUUGAAAGAGUGCGUAAUAGCUCACUGGUCGAGUGACCCCGCGCCGAAAAUGUACCGGGGCUAAACAUAUUACCGAAACUGUGGAUGAACCUCUUUAGAGGUUCGUGGUAGGAGAGCGUUCUAAGGGCGGUGAAGUCAGACCGGAAGGACUGGUGGAGCGCUUAGAAGUGAGAAUGCCGGUAUGAGUAGCGAAAGAAGGGUGAGAAUCCCUUCCACCGAAUAUCUAAGGUUUCCUGAGGAAGGCUCGUCCGCUCAGGGUUAGUCGGGACCUAAGCCGAGGCCGAUAGGCGUAGGCGAUGGACAACAGGUAGAGAUUCCUGUACCAGUGCUAAUUGUUUAACCGAUGGGGUGACACAGAAGGAUAGGGAAUCGCACGAAUGGAAAUGUGCGUCCAAGCAGUGAGUGUGAGAAGUAGGCAAAUCCGCUUCUCGCGAAGCAUGAGCUGUGAUGGGGAAGGAAAUUAAGUACGGAAGUUCCUGAUUUCACGCUGUCAAGAAAAGCCUCUAGGAAGAGUAGUACUGCCCGUACCGCAAACCGACACAGGUAGAUGAGGAGAGAAUCCUAAGGUGAGCGAGAGAACUCUCGUUAAGGAACUCGGCAAAAUGACCCCGUAACUUCGGGAGAAGGGGUGCUCUAUUAGGGUGCAAGCCCGAGAGAGCCGCAGUGAAUAGGCCCAGGCGACUGUUUAGCAAAAACACAGGUCUCUGCAAAACCGUAAGGUGACGUAUAGGGGCUGACGCCUGCCCGGUGCUGGAAGGUUAAGAGGAGUGCUUAGCUUCGGCGAAGGUACGAAUUGAAGCCCCAGUAAACGGCGGCCGUAACUAUAACGGUCCUAAGGUAGCGAAAUUCCUUGUCGGGUAAGUUCCGACCCGCACGAAAGGCGCAACGAUCUGGGCACUGUCUCAACGAGAGACUCGGUGAAAUUAUAGUACCUGUGAAGAUGCAGGUUACCCGCGACAGGACGGAAAGACCCCGUGGAGCUUUACUGCAACCUGAUAUGGAAUGUUUGUACCGCUUGUACAGGAUAGGUAGGAGCCGAAGAGACGUGUGCGCUAGCAUACGAGGAGGCAAUGGUGGGAUACUACCCUGGCUGUAUGACCAUUCUAACCCGCCACGCUUAGCGCGUGGGGAGACAGUGUCAGGUGGGCAGUUUGACUGGGGCGGUCGCCUCCUAAAGAGUAACGGAGGCGCCCAAAGGUUCCCUCAGAAUGG